rnacentral:rRNA from 1 species
GACGAACGCUGGCGGCGUGCUUAACACAUGCAAGUCGAACGGAAAGGCCCUGCUUUUGUGGGGUGCUCGAGUGGCGAACGGGUGAGUAACACGUGAGUAACCUGCCCUUGACUUUGGGAUAACAUCAGGAAACUGGGGCUAAUACCGGAUAGGAGCUCCUGCUGCAUGGUGGGGGUUGGAAAGUUUCGGCGGUUGGGGCUGGACUCGCGGCUUAUCAGCUUGAUGGUGGGGUAGUGGCUUACCAAGGCUUUGAAGGGUAGCCGGCAUGGGAGCGUGACCGGCGACCAGGCGCCUAAGAGAGGCCGCAGUCUGGUACGUGAGGCAGCAGGCGGGAGCAUUGCACAAUGAGCGCGCGCGUGUGGCGAAAGCCUUGCGUUCGUAAAGCCGUGUUUCGGGGGAUAAACAGCUGUCGCCUGUGACGAAGCGGGAGUGACGGUACUGGAUAAAGAAGCACCGGCUAACUACGUG